UCAUUCCUUCAGUGUUGAAACAAUCUCUACUGAACAAGGCUUCAAAGUAAUUCACUGGAGUUUGUUUCAAUAUUGCAGGACUGGUAAGAUGAAGC
rnacentral:pre_miRNA from 1 species